UACGGGGGGGGCAAGCGUUGUUCGGAAUUACUGGGCGUAAAGGGCUCGUAGGCGGCUCUUUAAGUCAGGGGUGAAAUCCUGGAGCUCAACUCCAGAACUGCCCUUGAUACUGAGGAGCUUGAGUCCGGGAGAGGUGAGUGGAACUGCGAGUGUAGAGGUGAAAUUCGUAGAUAUUCGCAAGAACACCAGUGGCGAAGGCGGCUCACUGGCCCGGUACUGACGCUGAGGUGCGAAAGCGUGGGGAGCAAACAGG
rnacentral:rRNA from 1 species